GGAUUUGUUCUCUUCCCUGAGGAUUCAGAAACCAGACAAUUUUCAGGGCUAUGAAAUAAUAACAUACGUCUAGGAAUUCCUGCUGUUUCCCUCUUGAGACUGCUUUUAAACAACCUGCCAGAAACUGAUCCUUUCUUCCCCCAUUUCUCCUCCUUUACUUUUUUUUUUUUUUUCCUCCAGUCAGUUCUGCACUCUUUGGCUGUUCCUUCAGCUCAUUCAGUGGCACUGAGACCUGCUGGUACUGGCCAGAUGAUUCCCUGCAGUGGAUUGAGGAUGGGAACAUCCGGAGCAGGGUCCUGCCUCUAUAACUUCUGCAGAUGCGGAGCAGUGAUUUCAAACUCAUCAGGAGGGCCCUUUUGAAUUUCAAGUUGGUUCACAGAAACAUGAGAGAGUGAAAUCUGAAUGUUCACACGGAGAUAAAAAAAUCUGCAGAAGUUCGAGCGUUGCAACCAGUGGCACAGGACAAGGCAAUCAGAUGCUGCUGACACGUCAUCUGCUUCUGUCAGACUGGGACCAUUCAGCCCUGCCUGAAAUAGGAUAUGAGGCAGAAGAGCACAUGAAAAAGAGAAGCUAAGGACAGGGCUGGAUGAGUGGCUCCUGUUCCAUGGGAUGAAUCUAUCCCAUGCGCUAGCCAUCUGCAAGC